UGAAGUUUUAUAAAGUUUAGUACCUGCACUUAAAUCUUAAGUAAUCGAAAGACAAAAUAGUUAAGUCAAGUACUAUCCCUCCUGUCUAUACUUCACCUUUGUUCCAGAGUUUUUUCAUAAGUUUUCAAAAUAAAACUCAGAGUUCCCAGCAAUGAUUCUCUCAAGUCUCUCUAUAUGUGGUAUUUGUGGAUCCUUACCAUAAUGUCACUUACCUAUAGCUAAUGGAAUAUUUAAGUGGAGCUCAUAGGAGUGAAAAACAGCUCAUACAUAUGUUGUCUAAUCGAGGCAUGGAUCCAAAGGAACUCAACAUAUAAUUAAAUCAAGAUGUGCAUGUGUGGUGGAGUGAAUGAUAGUGAUGGUAAAAAUGUAUAAGUGAUAAUGAAACUUAGUUCUCAUUGCUCCUCAUAUUGCUAUCUCUCCUUCUUCUCUGAUCUUUGCUUUGGGAGAACAUGGGCUAUUUUUUCAGGUGGGUAGUAGAUACCCCUAAUUCUACUGUCGGACACUUGUCCAUUUUUUCCGCUCAAGUGGGCAUCUUUGUACCCCUAAUUCUACUUCGGACACUUGUCCAUUUUUACCUCUCAUCUCACUUUUUUUUUCUUUCUUUUUCGAGGUUCCGGGCACUUGCCCCUUUUUAUUUCCUCGCAUAUUUUUGCAUAACCCAUGCCUCUUCUGCAUUGAAUCUUUUUAGAGAGAGAGAAUAACAAUAUUCGGGACAGUGAGUGAUAAUAUUUUUAGCAACUUUUAAUGAAUGGUGAUGAAUGGUGUAGUGGAUGUGUGCAAGUGAAUAUCUUAAUUUAACCACAUGAAAAGCUCCUAUGGGUCUACACAGCUCGAUCAAACUCAAUGUAAAUAUGGUAAAAGAUGUUUUAGCAAGUAUGGCUGUGGUAGGUAGUUUGUUAUGCUAGGAACUCAUCAUGUGACUUGUAAGUUUUCAAACUAAAUCUCUAGAACUUAGUGUAGUAGGAACAAGAUAAACAGCAGCUCAACUUUAUAUCAUGCCUUUUUCUUACCUAGACUUUAGUUUUAUGCUUCCCAAAGAUAGUAAUUUUUGUUUUAGUAAUUCCUGGAAGAACUCUAAUAUAAAAGCUAGGUACUUGAAAGUAAGCAAACAGAUAAGCUAUUCAUCAUUUCCAUCAUGCAUCUUUUUGGU
rnacentral:lncRNA from 1 species